UAGGGGGCAAGCGUUAUCCGGAUUUACUGGGUGUAAAGGGAGCGUAGACGGCAGGGCAAGUCUGAAGUGAAAGGCAGGGGCCCAACCCCUGGACUGCUUUGGAAACUGCCAGGCUGGAGUGCAGGAGAGGUAAGUGGAAUUCCUAGUGUAGCGGUGAAAUGCGUAGAUAUUAGGAGGAACACCAGUGGCGAAGGCGGCUUACUGGACUGUAACUGACGUUGAGGCUCGAAAGCGUGGGGAGCAAA
rnacentral:rRNA from 1 species